AUAAAAUUGGAAUGAUACAAAGAAGAUUAUCAUGCCCCCUAUGCAAGGAUGACACACACAAAUCGAGAAAUGGUCCAAUUUUUU
rnacentral:snRNA from 1 species